AACGAACGCUGGCGGCGUGGAUAAGACAUGCAAGUCGAACGGGGUUGUUUGUGUAGCAAUACAUCGACAACCUAGUGGCGAACGGGUGCGUAACACGUGAGCAAUCUGCCGGGAAGUGGGGGAUAGCUCGCCGAAAGGCGAAUUAAUACCGCAUGUGGCCAGAGGGGACAUCCCUUCGACGCCAAAGUCGCAAGAGCGCUUCCUGAUGAGCUCGCGGCCUAUCAGCUUGUUGGUGAGGUAACGGCUCACCAAGGCUAUGACGGGUAGCUGGUCUGGGGGGACGACCAGCCACACUGGAACUGAGACACGGUCCAGACACCUACGGGUGGCAGCAGUCGAGAAUUUUUCACAAUGGGGGCAACCCUGAUGGAGCGACGCCGCGUGGAGGAUGAAGGUCUUCGGAUUGUAAACUCCUGUCAUGCGAGAACAAGAAAGUGAUAGGAUCGCAAGAGGAAGAGACGGCUAACUCUGUGCCAGCCGCCGCAGUAA
rnacentral:rRNA from 1 species